ACUCCUACGGGAGGCAGCAGUGAGGAAUAUUGGACAAUGGGCGGGAGCCUGAUCCAGCCAUGCCGCGUGCAGGAAGACUGCCCUAUGGGUUGUAAACUGCUUUUGUACAAGGAAGGAAACACUCCCUCGUGAGGGAGCUUGACGGUACUGUAAGAAUAAGGAUCGCUAACGUCCGUGCCAGCAGCCGCGGUAAUACGGAGGAUCCAAGCGUUAUCCGGAAUCAUUGGGUUUAAAGGGUCCGUAGGUGGAUGAUUAAGUCAGAGGUGAAAUCCUGCAGCUCAACUGUAGAAUUGCCUUUGAUACUGGUUGUCUUGAAUUAUUGUGAAGUAGUUAGAAUAUGUGGUGUAGCGGUGAAAAUGCAUAGAUAUCACAUAGAAUACCGAUUGCGAAGGCAGAUUACUAACAAUACAUUGACACUGAUGGACGAAAGCGUGGGGAGCGAACAGGAUUAGAUACCCUGGUAGGCUCUG
rnacentral:rRNA from 1 species